UACGUAGGGGGCAAGCGUUGUCCGGAAUUAUUGGGCGUAAAGAGCGCGUAGGCGGUCCGGUAAGUCGGUUGUGAAAGUCAAAGGCUCAACCUUUGAACGCCGAUGGAUACUGCCGGGCUAGAGUCCGGAAGAGGCGAGUGGAAUUCCUGGUGUAGCGGUGGAAUGCGCAGAUAUCAGGAGGAACACCGGUGGCGAAGGCGGGUCUCUGGGCAGUAACUGACGCUAAGACGCGAAAGCGUGGGGAGCAAACAGG
rnacentral:rRNA from 1 species